GGCAUGAACUGUGACUUCUUUUAUGUUUGUACAGCACAUGUCACGUUGUGGGCACUACUAGAAACAAAUAAUAGGUAAUAAACAAUUUUUUGUAUUUAAUUAUAGAACAUAUAAAAUAUCACACACUAAACAGGAUAGAUCGAAUUUGAAAUAAUACAUAUUUAGAAAUGAAGUAAUGUGUUGCAUCAGAUAUUGAUAUUUCAUUCCCUAAAAAUGGUAUACAUGUUCCCUGUUCCAUGCAACAUUUCACUUUUAAAGUAUUUUAACUAGAGAUUAUGCCAAAUCAAAACUUUGGAUUUGGGAAGUUCAGGUCUGGAUCUGAACUUUGGACAGCAGUAAUAAUCAUGAUACUGAAUACAUAUAUAGCACCUUUUCAUCUUAAAGAGCUUUACCAAGCCCAGUAAGCAUUAUGCCUAUUUUACAGAUGGGGAAGGUGAGCACUGAGUGGGUCAGUGUUGUUCAAGGUCAUCUGUUCCCAGAGCUCAAUGUCUCUUGAUUCUCUCACAGAUAUCCUAUCCACUGAAACACCUGGUUUGCAUUUUGAUCAAAGAUUAGGACAGAAAAGAAGCAAUUCACCAUUGGAACAAACAGCUACGGGAAGUGGUGAAUUCUCCAUCUCUUGAUAUCUUCAAAUCAAAACUAGUGCUUUCUGGAAGAUUUGCUUUAGAAAAAACACACAUUAUUGGGUCUACAGAAGUGCCUGGGUGAAUUUAAUGGCCUGCGAUAUACAGGAGGUCAGACUAGAUGAUCCAAAGGUCCCUUCUAGUCUUAAAUGUUAUGAAUUUUGGAGUCUUCCAGGUGGUGCAGCAAUCUACUAUUACAAACACAUUAAAAAUUAGGCAUGUGGUUUUUGCCUUCA